AUGGCCCCCAACCCACUGCUGCCAUCAGACAGUGCAACCCUACAGGGGCCCUCAGCCACCAUCCCCCAGCGUCGUGGCAAGGUGCCCACGCUGUCCUAUGUCCCUGAGUUGCCUCAAAGGCUGCAGGGCAGGCGGCCAAUGCCAUCAGGCCGCUUAGUGGUGGCCCUGCAGCGUCCCCUAGGUGAGCAGCAGCAGGCAGUGGGCAGCCGCCUGCAGCCCGGAGCAGGACAGGGACAGAGCAGUGGUCACUCAGUCACCUUCACACAAAGCGACCUGUUCCGGGCAGAGCCACCAAGCGGGGUUUGUCCUCCGUGUGGCACCCAGGUGGCCCCAGUGAUCCUUAGGGAGCAGAUGACACAGACUGAACCCUGCACGGUGGCUUUGUCACCUCACGUGAUUGAUGUGGGGACACAACUGCCCCAAGAUCCUUGUGCCACCCACCCCACCAUCUGCACCCCAACCCCACCACCGCCUCGCAGCCCCAUCACCAACCCCAAACCGCCCCGCAGAGCUCUGCGGCCGCUUGGGCACAAAUCCAUUUCCCAAUGCUCAGGACAGCAGAACCCCAUGGAGCAGGGCUCUUUGUCCCCACAGCCCCCUCCAAGCCAGCCCAGUAGGGAGCAGAAUGAGCACCUGUGUAUGUUGCACCACAGGGCUGAGCAGCACUGCCCUGCCAUCCCCUUGCCCUGGGAUGUCUCCACCACCAGGGCUCUGUCCAAGCCUGAUCGCAGCUCAGCUUGGUGGCCCCUGCUGCACUCACAGCACGCUGUCACCCCGUGCCCCGUGACCCCAGUGAUGGAGCCGAGCACUUCCAAGAGUGGCCCUGUGGAGGUGGAUGCCAUCGCAGAGGUCCCGACAGGCAGAGGUGGCUUCAGUGAGGAUGUGGCAAUGUGUGACAGAGCUCCUGCCACUGCCCUGCCGCAGGACAACAGCUCCAAGAACUUUGCCUGUGGUAUUGAUGUUGGGCACAAGAUGGACAUGGAGCUGGCCGCUGAAUUUAAGACCUCCUUCAUGGUCAUGACUGACAAGGGGAACGCCAAUUUCUUCUGGACCCUGAAAGUGCCAUCCUCUGCCUGCUCCGCUGCUGACCCCUCCCUGGCUGCGGCUUCAGAUGAGGAGGUAAGUGAUGGCCUGGCAGCACUGGCAGGACCCUUGUGGGGGAUUUUGGGGCUGGUGACAGGAGAUGAACUAUGGGAGGUCUCAGAGAGUGGCACAGAGCUCACCCAUGGGUUCCCCCGCCAUGGCACGAGUCUGGGGACACGCUGCAGGGGGACAGCGUGGGGGCAGCAGGCAGGGAAGGGGUUAAUCACCCCAUGUCCUGGGAUGGGCUCUUUCAAUCUUGUUUGGGUUUGGAGGAAGAACAGCUUUGGCAGCGUGCAGCCUUGUCCCAAAAUAACUCGGCCUCCCAUGGUAAUUACAGAGCUGCCCCUCCAGCUCGCUGCUUCCCUUCCAGCUGCUGCCAGCUGGGCUGGGCAGGACAGGGUGCUGGGGGUGCUGGGGGCCCUGGGGAACACCACCCACCCUCCGUGUCACUGCUCCUCUUCUUGGUCACCCCUGGACAAGAAAAACUGGGUCAGUGUGGCAUCUCCAAGAUUGGGGACAUGGCUGCUGUGCCUGACACUGCCCUGCUCUCAUGGAGUAAAGGCACACAGACCCCACAGGCUCCGCUCCCACUGCGAUGUGGCCACACUGGGGACACCCAACACACUUCCCCACCCACGCAUGGGCAAAGCGUGACCCCCUUUGGCUCCAGCUGCCACGACAUCGCCUGGCCUUGCCCUGCUGCAUCCCCCCCCUGCUCCGCAGCUGAUCCCUUCAGCUUUUAAUGCUCUAUUUAAAGCCCGGGGCUGCGGCUCUGCGGCCACAUCCCUCUGACGCAGCCAGGCACCAUUCUCCUCCAGCAAGGCCGAAUUCCCAUUGCCAGAGGCUGAGCACAUCACCCACCGGAGCAGCUGAGCACGGGCAGCUCAUCACAGCAGUGCCCAGCUCCACUGUCCCUGGGGGAACUGCUCCUUGAAGGGCAGCGGGCAGCAGGGCUCAGCAUUACGGUGAGUAAUCCCCAGUAAAGCUGCGUCUCAGAAGGGAGUGCUGACUGCAGGGAUUAGGAUUGAAGCAUCCAUCCACACCUAUCUGCCCUGCCCCAUAUGGAUGGGGACAGGGGUUGCUCAUGCUCCCAGUACCCAGUGCCCAGUACCCUGCAAUUGGUGUGAGCUGUGCACGUUCCCUGGUGUCCUCCAGCAGUGGCGUUAAUGCUGGUACCAAGUAUCUGCUGAGCAGCACUCAGUAUUGUUGCCCAAUUCCCAGUGCUGGGGCUGCCCCCUCCCACCAGUACCAGGUUCUGGUGCCAGUGCUGGUGCUCUGUAUCCAGUACUGGUGCCAUCACCCUUCAGUGGGUACCCACACUGGUGCCCUGUGCCUGGCAUCAGUACUGGUGCCCAUACCGGCUACUGGUGCACUGUCCUGAAGCCUUGGUGACGGUGCCCCACACCCAGUUCCCGGUGCUGGAGCCCUAUUCCCUGUACUGCUACCCCACACCAGUGCCCUGCGCCUGGUACAUAGCGCACAGCAUUGGUGCCAGCACUUGGUCCGUGGCACUGGUGCACUGAAUGAUGUACAGUUCCCGGUACCGGUGCCCUGUGCCAGUACGCAGUGCCAACACCGAUGUCGGUGCCGGUACAGACGUUAUCGCGGAUGCCCGGUGCCG
ensembl:lncRNA